GCAGAUUGGACGUUAAGUUUCCCAAAGGGAAUAUUGAAGAACCUUUGUGUCCGAGUUGGUACCUUGUACACCCCAGCAGACUUCGUGGUGAUAGAAACCGGUAAUGAUGAGAGGGCACCCAUCAUCUUAGGGAGGCCAUUCUUAAACACCUCGGGAGCUGUCAUCUAUGCUAGUGCUGCCAAGAUCAGUUUCUACAUCAAAGGGAGGAAGGAGAUGUUUUCCUUCAAGAACAAGACUACACAAACCCCAGAGUAAUCCCGACAUGAACCAAGGAAGAGGACCAACAGGAGGAAUAGGAACAAGCAAGUGUGGACCGAGUCAGCUAAGAUGGUCACUGCAGUUCAAGAAGGUCAAGAUCAUCGACUUAAGUCACCGUUUCUGACCAAGAAGGACGACCCAGGUAUGCCAAGCAUCUACUGCUCCAUAAAUGGAUACAACAUCUACAAGACGACUUGCGACACCGGAUCGAGCGUCAACAUAUUGGCCGCAGUCACCUAUCGGCUCUUGUUCGGAACUAUGCCCUUAAAACCAACAUACAUUCAGCUCCAGAUAGCAGAUCAUACAUUCCGAGAGGUUGAAGGUAUAGUAACUGAUGUCUCUGUCAAAAUAGACGAUCAUUUUGUCCAUACAGACUUUUAGGUUAUCGACAUGGGAGAAGACGAGUACGAUCCACCCAUCAUCCUUGGAAGACCGUUCCUCAGCACCGUUAAAGCAAUCAUCUACAUUGGAACUAGAGAAGAUCACAUGCACUUCCCCUCAGAGAAGGUACGCCGCUAUUUUAUGACCCUAAUUAUAUCGUUGAAGACUCUAAGCAGUCAGAACAAGAAGAAGACGACGCAACCGCAACCAGAGGAGGCAGAUUAUCAAGGACGGAUGGGCAGACUACGAAGGAGAAGUGGUAAGGUCUGAAGACAUACAACUUGAACAGAAUUAUCCAGAGGAGACCGUAGCACCAAGUCAGGUGUGGAGAGAGAAGAUAACUAUACAAGAAGAAGAGGCGCCGCCGGAAGCACCGACUACGCCACCCAACGAAUCCCAGGACAACUAGAAAACGGAGAGUCCCGUUCGGAGGACUUAAAAACAUCGAACGCCUUGCCAAGAGGUAAAAUUGGUAGUUAUCCUUUCCUUUUAAUUAUUUAAAAUAGUUUGCUUAGUUAAUCAGGUUCAUAUCAUUUUAAAAAGAAAAUAAAAAUGUUAAAAACAGUAAGCCUCAUGUGAAUAUACAAGUCACAUGAAACCCAUAAGUACAUUCGCUGUGGUGGCAUAAAAAUAAAAUAAUUUUUUUUUUCUGCUCUAUAAAAUAAAAAUAUAAAAUAGAGAGUAAUAUUUAUUGAGUAGGCUCAACAUGAUAAAGGCUAGAUAUUUAUGCUAACACUUAAUCAGUUCCACAAAGCUUUGUUGUCUAUUUGAGCUCCACAGAAUUUAAGGAUCAAGAAGACUAGCAGACGGAGGACGUCCUAAUCGCUGUCAGGGUGCUGCCGACUUUCAAAUACACCUCUGCCACCUGCUAGCUACAUCAAAAAGAAAUUAUGUCAAAAUUCAGCUUGGGGGAGAGCACCCCCAUUUAUCCCGCUAAGUAUUUCUAUCUAUCUUUAUACUUAUACUACAUUAAAAUAUAAAUAUACAUAACUAUGAAAAACCAAAUAAAGUUUUUGUGCUUAUAUAUAUAUAUAUAUCUUUUGCUUAGUAUGUUUAAUAAAUAAAUAAAGUGGCUAUGCUAAACUGAAUCUUAAUAAUAAAACUCUAGCAUGGAUAUGAUGAAUAGUUGCUCUGCCUAAUUUUUAAAAUUUGAGUUCUCUCUCAAAGUUUAGACAUAAGUGUUAUAAUUUAAAGAUUGCUCUAAAUCUGAACUUGUGGGACGAAAACUUGAUCUGAAGUUUAAGUUGUUAACGGAUAUGAUAUGGGAAGGUUGAGCUGCUGUUUAUCUGUUCCUAGAGAUGCUAGAAUUCUGGAGAAUUUUAUCAUUGAAAAUCUUUAAAAUAAUACAUGAUGAGUUCUUGUAUGAUGAGAGUUUAAAUUCCUACCACAGCCAUAUAUACAUGCUUGCUAGACUUUGAGCCACACAUUUACUUUUUACUGCUUAUGAGCAUUGAGUGUGGUCAAGCUGAGUAGACCCUCAGGAGCUUGUCAUGUGGUCAAAUCAAGAUUCACUUGCACGUUCACUCACACAUGCUGCUUCUACUCCGGAAGUACGCAUCCAUAUAUAUCCAUUUGCAUCUCCAUAACCACCCAAAAACAUUCUACUCCUAAUCCGGGAGAGAAUGGCCAAAAAAACAUUCCUGUUUUCCCUGUGGAAUAAAUGCUCAAGUUAUCUUGGUUACUACCACUUGCUAUAUUAUUUCAGGAGAUGAGUGCUCUAAAAAAAAAGAUACGAGGAAAUAAAAAGGGGCAAGUGCCCGGAACCUCGAAAGAAAAAAAAUAAGAAAAAAAGUGAGAUGAGAGGUAAAAAUGGACAAGUGUUUGACAGUAGAAUUAGGGGUACAAGAUACCCACCUGAGAGGAAAGAAAAAGAAAAUAUAGAGCAUCUCAUUCUCCUCACCAAGUUUCAAAAAGCAAGGAAGGUAUGUAUCCCCUCAAAGAGCAAAAGUAGAAUUAGACUUUCACCAUUGUUAUCACCAUUAUCACCAUACGCCAUUCAUUCGCCACACAUGCACAUCUUGAUUUCACUUAUUGAUUUGUUUCUUUGGAUCCAUGGUUUGACUAUACAAUAAAUGUCUUGUGAGUAUGUAUACUUUAUCUCCCACCUAUGAGCUCCAGAUAUUAAAGCCUUAUUAUAGUAGGGUGAGAGAGAAGACAAUGUCACUAUGCUUUAUACUACAAAUAUUACAUACUUUGAGAGAAGGCAUAUACCAUCACUACCUUGGUAAGAAUCCAGAAAUACCACAAAAGAGAGAUCUAAGAGAGUCAUACAAGGAAUUUCUGAGUUUUAUUUGAAAAUCUGCAAAAACUCCAGAGCUAUAGCUGAUCAAGAAUAAGAGACAUGACACUUGACUAGACUGUUCUAUCUUUUAACUACUCAAGACAGAAGUGACAGUUACAAGUCCCAUGGUAAAAGGUAAAAUAAGUAAGUCUUGACAGUUUACUCUAACUCAGAGAUGAGACCUCAUUUAAAAGCAUGUGUACCGUCAAUUUUUAAAGACAUUAUAGCAACUUCUGAUCCAUCACUGAGAUUAUCCUUGCUCAGGGACGAGCAAGAGGUAAGCUUGGGGGAGUUUGUUGACGGUCCUAAAGUAUCAAAUAUAAUCAACAAAUAAACAAAGAAACGGAUCCAAAUGAAGUCAACAUCCAGACUUAGGGUUUUAUCUAACAGAAUUCCACGAGUUUUGGUGUUUGUCUAUUUCUGCAGGGGGUUAUUAGGAAUUAUGGAAGAAAGGCCCAUACGUCGGGUUUACAUAGAGAUAUUAACGUGCCGCAUAAUUAUCUUACAUCUAGAAGAGUCCAGAAGCCACGGGAACGAACGGGAGACCGAACGGGCUCGGGGGCAGGGCGCCCGCCCUCCCCCCUAGGGCGCCCGCCCUGGCCUUUCCACCAAUCACGGCCAAUCUCGCGGAUUAUGCUCCACCGACCUAAAGGAUCAAGGAUAAUCGUUCAAUCAAUGUCGGUUUGAUCCGACGACCCACAUUCACUUGGAAGGACUUUAUAACCAGACCCUCUGGCCCCUGGAGGAGAGCACCUCUAAACCCUAAUUCAAUAUUCAUCUUGGGAGAAGAAGCCUCUGAUCAAGCCCUAGAGCCACCACAUCAAUUAGAUCUCUAGAUUAGCAUAGCUACAUAAGAUUAGAACCAGAAGGAGUCAAUCUUCGAUUGGUUUCCGGAUCUGUCAAGAGAAUUUUUAACACCCGAUUUUAAGAACUGAAUCAGAUAUGCACCAUAUGUGAGUUUUAGAAGACAAGCCUCACAUAUAGCUACAAAUAAGGGGUAAUAUCAAAGGACAACACAUAAAUUACAUAGCGUACAUAGUAAAUCAGAAACAACCUUUGACAGCAAACCACAGAAGAGAACUCCAAACUUCGGGUGUUAACUUCACUCUACAGGAUCCAACUGACUGGUUGAUCACAAGCCCAAUACUUCUCCUAAGGUGUGGGGGAGAUAGCAAGAGUGAGUCCAAGGCGAACUCCGCAAGUAUAACAACUAGAUUGUAUAGAUUCCACAAUCUCAUGAUCAAUGUGACAUAAAUAAUAUAGAGCAUUAAACAAUAAUCAAUGAGUUUCUUAACACAAGAUUCAUCACCCUUAAUGUAAGAGUUUCCAAGGCCGCUCGUGACCGUGAGCACGGCUAAUACCAGUUUUUAACACUCUACAGAGGUUGUACAUCUUUACCCAUGAGUCAUGAUUUACCCUUUCGCCUGAGAUGAUCAGCCUCGUAACCCACUACCAAGGUAGGUCGACAGAGAUCACUAUGAAGUCUUUCAAAGGUUCGUCUAACAAGUUUGGGCCGCUUGGUUUCGGUAGUCAGUCCGUGUGAUUCUACCCCGUAGGGGAUCCACGGUCUGCAAUCCCCCAUUUGCGCCGCACGGGUAACCUCUAACAAGCUAGAAAAAUUACUCAUACUUGACUAAAGCCAGAGCCAUUAUAGCCCUCAUGGUUGCACUUUCAUCCCGGUUAUCACAUACGAAUAAAUCCUCAAGUUGCUAAAAAGUCAUUAUUAUCAUUUGUUGCUUUAUAUUAAUCUAGUCACAAGAUCAUAGUCAUAGAAUUAAAACCCAAAUGCUAUACUUGCCUUAAUCCAAUUGCUCCUGCUAGUCCUGCUGAUCUUACUUGCUUCCAAGGCUCUGAUCUUGAUCACCGAAUUAAUGCCCACUAUCUAAUCUCGAUCAUCGGUCAUCAACACACAAACAAUCGGAGACAGACAUACACGAAGCAAACAAGAUUACAAUUAGAACAGUACACCAGCAGUAAAUAAAUUUAAAUAAAAGUUUUCCAAAAUCAUCUACACGCUGCUACAAUCAUGUCAACGAGAAAUUCACGGAAAACAGAGUUACGACGCGAAAGUUACGCUUUUAACGGGAUUUCAAGGGCAGUUUACAGACUUGUAAUUAACUAGGGAAUCUAACAGUGGUGAAUCUAGCCAACAAAGGUACCAACGUGAAGCUUAUGAAAUUAUAAAACUAACGCAACUUGAACGGAUCGAAUCGGAGCUAAAACAGAGAAGAUAUGAAUUUUCUAACAUUUUCUUUAGAAAAAUAAUUAAUUAAAUAGGGUCACAAAAUUAAAUUGUUUCAACUGAUGAACCAAGAUUACUAACAUGUAGAUCUCACCAAAAUGAAUCUAACGCAAUUUGAAUGGGUCAAAUCGGAGUUAAAACAAAUAUUUGAUGGCCAAAACAAACUCAGUGGCAAAUCUAUAAAUUUCGAAAAGCGUAUUUUUGAUCUAAACCGAGACGAAGUACGUGUUUGAAAUCAGAAAACGUAUUCCUAAAGGGCGUUUUAGGACUGCGGGUUGAUUUGAGAAAAACGCAGGGUCUCUUUAAAACUUUUGCCCCCGAAGGGGUAUGGUGCAUCCAGGGCCAUCGGAUCGAUCCUGGACGGCUGAGAUUAAAAGAAAGAGAUGAGAGAGGGGGGUGGGGGAGGUGGCGCGCCGGCUAGAGGGGAGGAAGGAGGCGGCGGCGGCCAUGGAUUCCGGUGGCAAGGUCACCGGAGCUGGCGGUUUGGGGGCUUCGGGCCAUGGUUUUCAAUUCCGAAUGCACAGAGAGAGAGGAGGGCAACGCGAACCCGCCCAUGCCCUCUACGCGGCCGGGGAGAGGUUUGAGAGGCACGCUCUAUGGCCGGCAGCCAUGGAGCUCGCCGGAGCUCGCGGCUAGCAUGGUAGAGCGCUUCGUUUUGCGAGAAAAUUAGACGAGGACGAAGCGGAGGAGAAAGGAGAGCUCACCAACGCGAAGAACGGGAUCGAAGGGGCUCGGUUCGACGGAUUCGCGCGGAGGUCGCCGGCGGCGAUUUUUGCGGUGCUCCAGGGAGUUCACACGAGAGGAGAGGGGGCGAGGGGAAAAGAAUGGGAGGUGGGGAGGUCGGUUUUGCGCAUCUCUACCCACUUCAACCCGAGGCGCGGGGGACAGAGGAGAUAGUGGGGGAGCGGCUUCGGCUCGGCGGUUUGAAGCUGAGAGAGAGAGAGGGGGAACGGGCGGGUGGUUGAAGAAGAGGGAGCUGACAGGCGGGCCCGGCCUGUCAGCGGGUGAGAGAGAGAGGGGAAGGGGGAGGAGGCCGGCUGGGCCUGGCCCAGGAAGAGGAAAGGGGGCGCGGGGCAAGUGGGCCAAGCAGGCCGAAAAAAAGGAAGGGGGGAGAAAGUUUCCAUUUUCUUUUCCAAAUACAUUUUUUUAAAACUCAUUUUUCAAAAGAAAUUUGAAUUCAAAACUCUUUACAAAAAAAUUCCACACAUCACAUAAAUAAAUGCUAUAGCAUGAAUGCAUCAAAAGUUUUCUAAACUUAUAUUGAAUUUUAAUUUCCCAAAAAUUAUUUAUUUUUCCUAUAUUUUAUGAGCACAAAAUAACAAAUUAAAUUAUUUUUCCCCUAUUUCCAAAAGAGCAAAAUUUAGGGUGUUACAAUUCUACCCCCCUUAAAAUGAAUCUCAUCCUCGAGAUUCGAAAGAGGCUCAGACUUCCAAAAGGAAAACAGGAUAAAGAUCUUAAUAACUCUUUCAACUUCUCAACUUGCAUACCAAACUUAAACACUUGUCUCAAGGUCACACCCCGUGAGCAACAUUUCCAUUGAAUAGCUAUUAUUCAAAGUUGACCAAAGUCCAUCUUGACUACUAAUUUCUUUUAGCUUACAACUCCAAGAGACAUGGAAACUUAAUAGGCAUUUGCCUCCUCAGGUAGGAGUGGACCACCGUGAUACUCAAUUCUUUUUCCUGACGGUGCUGUUAAGAGCAUUUUGUAUUGGGUACCAUAGAUCACUCCUUUGUGUGCACACAACCAUCCAUUACCAAGGACCAAGGGAAUACCAAGCGACUCUAACACAAUGAGGUUUACAGUGAAGUUUUCUGUGUUUAUGACCAGAUUGAUAUUUGAGCACACCUGAUUUGCUUGUAUUUCUCCCAUUGGGGUUUGAACUAGUAAAGGCUUCUUCGUUGGACACUUUACCCUCUCGAUUGUCUUUACGAGGUCGGUGGAAAUGAAAGAAUGCGAAGCACUCGGGUCAAAGAGAGCAAAAACUUGCACUGAGUCUACUUGAAUAUAGCCACCAACCACUUUGGUAGCUCCAUGAAUGUUAUGCCUAUCCACGUUGCUCAGUCUUCCAUUGAUAUAGUCUCGUUGCACCCUACUUCCAUGAGCAGGCUUCUUACGGCUUUUCCUUUUUCUCUUUCGCCGUUGUGGAUUCCGAUUUGAUUCACUUCCAACUUGCUCUUGAGUAUCAUUAUUUUGAUAGUACUUAGUUUCGUCAUACUCAUAACAUCCUUCAAGGGUAGGAUAAUCAUUCUCUUCCCACGUAUCAGUAAGAGGUAUCAUAUAGGGAUCCUGAUCCAUGGGAUACUACACUCCCUGUCAUCAAGUGACCAACGUCAAUGACACGAGAAGGAGUGAUGAUCAUAUUCAUAGAAUAUCUCACGAGACAACUCUCACUUCAAGAUAAGUUGAAAAUGCAUCAACCCGUGAUAUCAAGGUUCUACCCCCCUUAAGAAAGGUCGACUAGGAGGCACAAGGAAGGUAGCUUGCACUUUUUCUUGACAAGUUAUCUUGCAUUGAGACCCUUUUAACACCCCAAGGAACUUAUGUGCAAGGAAGAACAAAUAUCCUGAUUUUCCUCGCGAUAUGAAAAUCACCAGCGCAGUAAAAUGGACAUAACUCUUGUUCUGUUAAUCCAAUAGGGUUAUAGCUUAUACCGUUAGAAAGCUUAGAGAAUUUGCUACAACCUUUCUAUAGAACACUUUUCCAAAUUCUAUAGUUAUAUUUGUCCAAAACAGUAAGCAACCAAAACUGGUCCAGGUUCUUGACAGCACAACUAUAUCAUCUUGUGAUUUUCAUAACUCCAAUACCAGAAUAGCUAUGGGGGUGAUUCUUGAGGUCAGAGAAAAAUCUUGAAGUACACUAUCAUCCAGAAUUUUCUCAUGAUUUUUGGUCAUCCCGGAUCAAAGAUAUGAACUGAUAAAGAAGUGAUACUCCGGAAAGGCAGGAUAAGAUAACAAGAGAAAAACCAAAACCCAACUAUUUGUGUCAUUAAUCCUUAUGCCUUAGACAUUUAAACUAAAUGAAAUUGUGAAGAAACUCACAAGAUCAUUACACUCAUUACAAAUAUCCAAAUCAAACAUAAACAUAAAGACAAUUCAACCAAGCAGUAAAGGUUCACAAGGCACACAAACUCGACUUUCGCUACUAGUGUUCUUAUUACACAAGGGCACAAACUCCUAUAUCUUAAACUCAGUGUGGCUUCUUUCAUGAUGCAUCUAUUGAUUUCUUUGUGGACAAGAGUUUACAUAGUGUCCUUCCUGUCGGCAGUGAUAACACUUUCUCUUAGCUGGAUCCUUCGUGAUAUCAUUUUCCACUGAGGUGUUGCUCGGUGUGUUAUCAGCUCACUGACUCUGAAGGUUUGUCUCUGGCUGGCUAGCUUUCUUCCUAACUUGGUUGAUCCUUCAAGGUUGACACUCUUUAUAAGUGAUGGUCCAUCCAUCUAUGCAUACCUCAUGAGUAGUGGGGUUAGCUUGAGAAGUUUCUUCAUCUCCAAGGUUUUGGAUUUUUCAUGGCCAGAGUUCAAAGCUAAAUGUGACAACUUAGGAUUUGAAUGUUGUUCACUCCCCAAUGCUGGCUCUAGUGAUUUUACCUUCCUCUUCUUAUCCUCAUUAGACACACAAUUUGGUUUUACCUUAACUUCCUUUUCAGAUGACCUAUUUCGACGACAAGGAAGACCAUAAUGCCUACAACAAUGGCAUUGAUCCUGAUAUCCCGAUGUAUUACUAUCAACACCUCCAUGGGUUCUCAUAUUUUUCCAAGCUUCUGCUACUUGUCUCUUCAUUGGUCCUGAGAUGCACUGCUGAGAGUUCCCAUUACGAGUCAUUCCUUCCACUACUUGCUUUUGCAUGGCUAGAAGCUUCUCCUUGUCGAAUGCUUUUACGAGUGGCAUCUCUGAGUCCUUUUGUUCCUUCAUGUCAAUGGUCUCAUCGUUAUGAGCCAUCUAAAUAGACAAGGAGGUUGGAUUUAGAAUAGAGAUAAAGUUUUAUAACAGAAUAGGGUAGAGGUAAGCAUAAAUUUUAGCAAUUAUCAAGGUUAAGGUGAAAGCAAGAAGUAAGCAGAGAUAGAAGCAUGCUAUAACGUCUGGUUCUAACUAGGCUUGCGUCCUACAGUCAGCAUUGCUUUGAUACCACUUUGUAACACCCGAUUUUAAGAACAAAAUUAGAUAUGCACCAUAUGUGAGUUUUAGAAGACAAGCCUCACAUAUAGCUACAAAUAAGGGGUAAUAUCAAAGGACAACGCAUAAAUUACAUAGCGUACAUAGUAAAUCAGAAACAACCUUUGACAGCAAACC
rnacentral:lncRNA from 1 species